rnacentral:misc_RNA from 1 species
GAUGAAGAACGUAGCGAAACGCGAUAAGUAAUGUGAAUUGCAGAAUCCAGUGAAUCAUCGAAUCUUUGAACGCACAUUGCGCCCGUCAGCAUUCUGGCGGGCAUGCCUGUUCGAGCGUCAUUUCAACCCUCGACCUCCCCUUGGGGAGGUCGGCGUUGGGGACCGGCAGCACACCGCCGGCCCUGAAAUGGAGUGGCGGCCCGUCCGCGGCGACCUCUGCGCAGUAAUACAGCUCGCACCGGGACCCCGACGCGGCCACGCCGUAAAACACCCAACUUCUGAACGUUGACCUCGAAUCAGGUAGGACUACCCGCUGAACUUAAGCAUAUCAAUAAGCGGAGGA